rnacentral:rRNA from 1 species
UACGUAGGCAGCGAGCGUUGUUCGGAGUUACUGGGCGUAAAGCGCACGUAGGCGGCUUUGUAAGUUAGAGGUGAAAGCCCGGAGCUUAACUCCGGAAUUGCCUUUAAGACUGCAUCGCUCGAAUCAUGGAGAGGUGAGUGGAAUUCCGAGUGUAGAGGUGAAAUUCGUAGAUAUUCGGAAGAACACCAGUGGCGAAGGCGACUCACUGGACAUGUAUUGACGCUGAGGUGCGAAAGCGUGGGGAGCAAACAGG